AUACCGACAUUGGAAAAAAAACUAAUCUGAGAGAUGAUGAUGAUGAUGAUGUUGUUGUUGCUGCAGCUGAUCAAUGGCUGUAUGGGGGCAUUGCUGCUGACUGAGGUAGGCCAGUCUGGGUCUGCAUUGGCAUCAUUCCAGGGACUGGUUGAGGAGGCAUGGUCCCAGGUGGCAUGUAGGGGUGGUUGUGCUGCUGCAUUGGCAUGGACUGAGGUGGUGGUGGUGGUGCUCCUGCUGCUGCAGCAGAUGUGGCCCAUCCUGCAGAAGGCUGAUGUAUCACCGGCUGAUCCGAAGGUGAGGCAUACUGGGCUCCUUCAAACUGAUGAGUGGAGGGACCUGGAAUUGGAACUGGUUGUUGGCCCAGAACAGAAGGUUGGGAGCUCAAC
rnacentral:lncRNA from 1 species